rnacentral:sRNA from 1 species
UAAACACUAAACGCAAAAUCUUAACCUUAAACCUUAAACCCUAAAUCCUACUUUAACUUCCUGGUUCUUUUUGCGUUUCUAGUUCUUAGACUGAAUGAUAAACAAAACAUCAAGUCAUAUUUGACUACAAAAACACAAACCAAGCUUCUUCUUGAUUCUCAAAGCUUUGAUGGUGAAGCCGAAGUUCUUAUGAGUUUUUUGGUUUUGAAUCAUAUAACAAGGAAGCACUACUUUACUUUUCAGUAUCUCGUUGAGGUUCUAGUUUUAUAUUCAAUUAUACACAUGACAUCUAGUCAUAUUUCACUCCGAAACGCUAACCAAGAUUCUUCUUGCUUUUUAAAGUAUCAUACUAUAUUUGAUCCUAAACACUAAACCUAAACUCUACACCCUAUAUCCCAGAACCUAAAAUCGAACCCCUAAACCGUAACUCAUGAACCCUAAAU